ensembl:lncRNA
AGGUAUGCUUUUACUGCAUCGGCAGUGUGUCUGGAAUCACUGCCAAGCUGAAAAAUGAAGCCCCUGCCAAUCAGAUAUUUCCAGAUGGUGGAUCAAAAUCUGACUGUACUCAUUUUCAUAAUUCCAUCAGACUGGCAGCAGCUCAGUGCAGGCGACAGGUUGUUACUGAAAGUGCGCGGCGAUAAGGAGAGCUUGCUUCGUGGUGGAGAAAAGGUCAUGACGCUUGGGAAUCCACCCUGAAAACAUACAAUGUCUUGGCAAGGUGGUUCGGCCACUUGCGUCAUUUCUUCCUGCAAUUGUUCAGCAGGUCAACGCGCAGACACAGCUGGCAGGAAGAGAGAUGCUGAACCCACCAUAAAGCUAGCCAAUCAGAUUGCUCCUAUGCAGAAAGCGGCAGCCAUCCUUGGCCAGUCUCUGGACCAUCUCCAGUCUGGACAGGUCCUCCUUGUCAUGCAGGAUGCACUUGUUCCCGUGCUGCAGCCCAGGGGACACAGAGAACAUGUAUCUGAGGCCACAGUCCCACGACAUUGCCGACUGAUUACUGGCUGCUGGCUUUCCACCAGGAACAACAGCAGAAGUCCUGAACAUGGGCUUACACAACUCGUAAAAAAUGCCUAACAGAGCGGUGUGAUGCUUGACUGGGUCCUUGCAAAGCCAUUCAGCUGUGCUGCCAUCCCAAACUGCUGAUACAGCAAACUGCAGAAUGAGAAAAGGUCCCCAUCUCUAGGUGGUGUUUCUCUUUCAUGUGAGGACGAGUCCUAUCUGCAGCCUUUUUGUUCUUUUAAUGUAAGUGAUUGGCACAACACCAAUUGCACUCCUCCUACAGAGUACAUAUUAGACUUAUUACAAUAGGUAAGUCCUCCUUUAAGUCCUCUUAAAAUCUUUUUAAAAUUAAAAGAAAAAAAUUACCAAGUACUAAGUAAAUGAACUAAUAUGACCACAUUCUUGGUUUGUACCAGACUUAAUUACAGUACUGUAUGUGGCUGUCUUUGAGCAUUUGCUUUUGUGAUACCACUGUAGGAAGAAAGUGAACGCGUUACAUCGAGACAAAGCCAGGGGGACAAACCUAGUUUUAAUGUGCUACCACUGACCCAGUUUUUCAAGUAAACGAAUUGCAAAGUGAAGAUGCCUAAAGCCAAAAUUGUAAGGCAGCUCUGUGUGCUACUAGUGUCUUUAACCAGCGACUGCCAUGACAACCAUGGGAGGAACUCUACUGCAGGCGCGCAGCGCUGCAACAGACUAAAAAAAAUGAUGAAACUCUU